rnacentral:rRNA from 1 species
UGAUCCCCCACACUGGCACUGAGAUACGGGCCAGACUCCUACGGGAGGCAGCAGUAGGGAAUAUUGGGCAAUGGACGGAAGUCUGACCCAGCCACGCCGCGUGCAGGAGGAAGGCGCUCUGCGUUGUAAACUGCUUUAGCAGGGGAAGAAAAGACUCAUGCGUGAGGAAUUGACGGUACCCUGAGAAUAAGCACCGGCUAACUACGUGCCAGCAGCCGCGGUAAUACGUAGGGUGCAAGCGUUGUCCGGAUUUAUUGGGUUUAAAGGGUGCGUAGGCGGUCUAUUAAGUCAGUGUUUAAAUUUUGCAGCUUAACUGUAGGUAUGGCAUUGAUACUGGUGGACUUGAAUAUCAUGGAGGUAGCUAGAAUUUAUGGUGUAGCGGUGAAAUGCAUAGAUACCAUAAGGAACACCGAUAGCGGAGGCAGGUUGCCACGUGAUGAUUGACGCUGAGGCACGAAAGCGUGGGGAUCAAACAGGAUUAGAUACCCUGGUAGUCCACGCUGUAAACGAUGAUUACUAGAUGCUGGCCGGAUGCGGUCAGUGUUCAAGCGAAAGCGAUAAGUAAUCCACCUGGGGAGUACGUUCGCAAGAAUGAAACUCAAAGGAAUUGACGGGGUCCGCACAAGCGGUGGAGCAUGUGGUUUAAUUCGAUGAUACGCGAGGAACCUUACCUGGC